GGAUAAUUGGACAAGUUGAAGAAGAACAAUAUAGCAUAUUGUACUAUGUCAAUGUGGUUUCAACACAAUUGAUGAACCUUCAAGUCCAAGUGUUGGUUCUUCAACAAUACCUAUUGACAUGGAUGAAGCAAAUCCAACACCAAAUGUGGAAAUCAUAGGAUUGGAAGGAAUGGAAGGUGAUGUUGGAAAGGACGAUGGUAGAGAAGUUGAAGAAGUGGAAGGAGAUUGUGAACCUUAUAAGAAGAAGCAAAGGAAAAAAUCAUUAGUUAUUUGGCAAAAAAUGACAGUGGUGCGACUUGAGAAUGGGGAAGAAAAAGUGCAAUUCAAUCACUGCAACAUCAAACUGAAAAAGCAAAAGGAUGGCACAACCACACAAUAUAAAAGACAUUUAGACAAUUGCAUAAAACGCAGAAUCCAUCUUUCAGGGCAAAGGAACAUUUGUGUGAUUCCAUCGACACAAAAA